CGGGACGUAGCGCAGCCCGGUAGCGCACUUGCAUGGGGUGCAAGGGGUCACUGGUUCGAAUCCAGUCGUCCCGA
rnacentral:tRNA from 1 species